rnacentral:tRNA from 1 species
GCCUUGAAAGCUUUAAGCGUUUUACCUUGUAAGUAGAAAAAAGUUAAUCAUUUUUUAACUCAAGACU